rnacentral:rRNA from 1 species
UACGUAGGGUGCAAGCGUUAAUCGGAAUUACUGGGCGUAAAGCGUGCGCAGGCGGUUUUGUAAGUCUGAUGUGAAAUCCCCGGGCUCAACCUGGGAAUGGCAUUUGGGACUGCAAGGCUGGAGUGCGGCAGAGGAGACUGGAAUUCCUGGUGUAGCAGUGAAAUGCGUAGAUAUCAGGAGGAAUACCGAUGGCGAAGGCAGGUCUCUGGGCUGACACUGACGCUGAGACACGAAAGCGUGGGGAGCAAACAGG